CGCUGAGCUCACUUUCUUCAAUUGGGUUGCUUGUCUGUCACUCAAGAAGGGGUGGGCGCAGCUGCCGGUGGAGGCGAAAAACUGCGGCCCUUCCGCCCAGCAAGUAGAGGCGUCUUGAAGAAGCAGGAACGUUUUCCCCGCCGCAGCCCUGUGGUGGAGGGAGCACCCUGAUCCCUUUGCUGCAGACGAGGAAACUGAGGCUCAGAGAGGGUCCGAGAUCUUACAGCUGGUGCGGGGCAGAGCAAGACGCCAACCUAUGCCUGUUGGAUUCCAAAGUUUAUACUUUGAUCGUUCGUCUGGCAGAUUCUUACAACAAUCCUGGGAGGUGUGUAUUCUGUUGUCCCUUUGCAGAUAAAGAAACAUACUCAGCAAAGAGACUACGUAGUGACUACCGCUUAUAGGGCACUGCACAGUCUGCAAAGCAGUUUGACGUAUGUUGUUUCAUUUGAUCCUCAAAACAUCUUGGAAUUAAAGACGAUUUUUGUUAGUCCUAUUUUACAGGUGAAUAAAGUGAGGCUUGGAGAGG